rnacentral:rRNA from 1 species
GAUGAACGCUGGCGGCGUGCUUAACACAUGCAAGUCGAACGAUGAACCUCACUUGUGGGGGGAUUAGUGGCUAACGGGUGAGUAACACGUGAGUAACCUGCCCUUGCCUUUGGUAUAAGUAUGGGAAACCGGGUCUAAUACUGGAUACGACUUUCUUGCUCAUGCCAUGUUGGUGGAUAGCUUUUGUGUUUUUGGAUGGACUCGCGGUCUAUCAGUUUGUUGGUGGGGUAAGGGCCUACCAAGGCGACGACGGGUAGCCGUCGUGAGAGGGUGACCGGACACACUGGGACUGAGACAGGGCAGAGACUCCUACGGGGGGGAGGAGUGGAGAAUAUUGCACAGUGGGCGAAAGCCUGAUGCAGCGACGGCGCGUGAGAGAUGAAGGCCUUCGGGUUGUAAACCUCUUGCAGUAGGGAAGAAGCCGGCUUUUGGGUUGGUGACGGUACCUGCAGAAGAAGCGCCGGCUAACUACGUG